rnacentral:rRNA from 1 species
UAAUGGCUCACCAAGGCGACGAUCCCUAGCUGGUCUGAGAGGAUGAUCAGCCACACUGGAACUGAGACACGGUCCAGACUCCUACGGGAGGCAGCAGUGGGGAAUAUUGCACAAUGGGCGCAAGCCUGAUGCAGCCAUGCCGCGUGUAUGAAGAAGGCCUUCGGGUUGUAAAGUACUUUCAGCAGUGAGGAAGGGGGUGUCGUUAAUAGCGGCAUCUCUUGACGUUAGCUGCAGAAGAAGCACCGGCUAACUCCGUGCCAGCAGCCGCGGUAAUACGGAGGGUGCGAGCGUUAAUCGGAAUUACUGGGCGUAAAGCGCAUGCAGGUGGUUUGUUAAGUCAGAUGUGAAAGCCCGGGGCUCAACCUCGGAACUGCAUUUGAAACUGGCAAACUAGAGUACUGUAGAGGGGGGUAGAAUUUCAGGUGU